rnacentral:lncRNA from 1 species
UUCCAAUACAACCAUAGUGAUAAAUAACCUCUUCUAAUAGAAACUAACAUACACCUUUAGUAUCCUUUGUUCUUAAUGCUCGUCCUUCAAUUAUAUUUGAUAAAUCUUCUCAAGCAAGUAUCAAAUACUUCGUUUGUCCAAGUCCCAUAAGUAUUGCCACUAAAUCCACCACCUACUUAUAAUGUAAAGCCAAAGGAUAUGUUGGAUGUAAUCCAUCUCGAUGCCGAAUAUUUGAAUAUACUUUUCAAGUCUCAUAAGAUCCUACAAAAUUUGCUAUGUCUUUGUAUAUUUCGUUCUAUCAAUAUUUUUCUCUUAACUUAGUAAAUGUUGACCAAAUACCUCAAUGCCCUAUCUAUAAAUUUUCAUGAAAUUCUUUAAUAAUCCUUUAUUGAGCUUCUAAACUACAUAUCACCCUUUAUGAUAC